GAUGAACGCUGGCGGCGUGCUUAACACAUGCAAGUCGAACGGAAAGGCCCAAGCUUGCUUGGGUACUCGAGUGGCAAACGGGUGAGUAACACGUGGGUGAUCUGCUCUGCUUUUCGGGAUAAGCCUGGGAAACUGGGUCUAAUACCGUAUCGGACCACAUCUAGGAUGGAGUGGUGGAAAGUUUUUCGGUGUGGGAUGAGCUCGCGGCCUAUCACCUUGUUGGUGGGGUAAUGGCCUACCAAGGCGUCGAGCGGUAGCCGGCAUGUGAAGUGGUACGGCCACAUUAGACCUGGGGUACGGACCAGACUCCAAUGGGGGACAGCAGUGGGAAGUAUGGCACAGUGGGCGCAAGCCUGUGGCAGAGACGCCGCGUGUGGGAUGACGGCCUUCGGGUGGAAAACUCCUUUCGCUAGGGACGAAGCGCAAGUGACGGUACCUAGAGAAGAAGCACCGGCUAACUACGUG
rnacentral:rRNA from 1 species